rnacentral:RNase_P_RNA from 1 species
UAAGUUGUCAAGAUGAUCGCGGCUGUACUUCGGUACAGGUGAGGAAAGUCCGGGCUCCACAGGGCAGUGUGCUGGAUAACGUCCAGCGAGGGCGACCUUAGGGACAGUGCCAUAGAGAUUUAGACCGCCGGAGCAAUCCGGUAAGGGUGGAAAGGUGCGGUAAGAGCGCACCAGCAGUCAGGUGACUGGCUGGCUUUGGUAAACCCCACACGGAGCAAGACUGAAUAGGGAAGGGUUGAUGCGGCCCGCGGACCUUCCGGGUUAAGUCGCUUGAGCGAGGGAGCAAUCCCUUUGCCUAGAUAAAUGAUCAUCACCGCCGUCAGGCGGCACAGAACUCGGCUUAUUGAUUGCUUAUGCC